rnacentral:rRNA from 1 species
UACGGAGGGUGCGAGCGUUGUCCGGAAUCACUGGGCGUAAAGGGCGCGUAGGUGGCGUCUCAAGUCAACGGUGAAAGCUCGACGCUUAACGUCGAGUCGGCCGUCGAGACUGCGAGGCUCGAGCACUGUAGAGGCUCAUGGAAUUCCGGGUGUAGCGGUGGAAUGCGUAGAGAUCCGGAAGAACACCGGUGGCGAGGGCGGUGAGCUGGGCAGUUGCUGACACUGAGGCGCGACAGCGUGGGGAGCAAACAGG